rnacentral:tRNA from 1 species
GCAGGGGUAUCAAAGUGGCCAUCACAGGGCUGACCCGAAAUCAGCUUGGCCCCAAACCCACGCGGGUUCGAAUCCCACCCCCUGCGCCA